UACGUGAGGAGGCGAGCGUUAUCCGGAUUCACUGGGCGUAAAGCGUGUGCAGGCGGUUUGGUUAGUUGGAUGUGAAAGGCUCCUGGCUCAACUGGGAGAGGUCGUUCAAUACUGCCAGACUAGAGGACGGUAGAGGAGAGUGGAAUUCCCGGUGUAGUGGUGAAAUGCGUAGAUAUCGGGAGGAACACCAGUGGCGAAAGCGGCUCUCUGGGCCGUUCCUGACGCUAAGACACGAAAGCGUGGGUAGCGAACGGG
rnacentral:rRNA from 1 species